rnacentral:lncRNA from 1 species
CACCUUACUGGUAAGACAUUCAGUCAACAUCUGUAGAUAUACAAGAUUUGGUAAUAUCGACCUGUAUAAGCACUAAUACAUCAUGUCAUGAAAUCACAUGAAGAUAGAUAACUGAAGCCUUCUAAUUCACCUUACUGGUAAGACAUUCAGUCAACAUCUGUUGAUAUACAAGAUUUGGUAAUAUCGACCUAUAUAAGCACUAAUACAUCAUGUCAUGGAAUCACAUGAACAUAGAUAACUGAAGCCUUCUAAUUCACCUUACUGGUAAGACAUUCAGUCAACAUCUGUUGAUAUACAAGAUUUGGUAAUAUCGACCUAUAUAAGCACUAAUACAUCAUGUCAUGGAAUUUCAAUCACAUGAAGAUAGAUAACUGAAGCCUUCUAAUUCACCUUACUGGUAAGACAUUCAGUCAACAUCUUAUAUAAGUUUGCAAAACCUGGAUACUCCUCUUGAAAACAUGCAAAUGUUUAAUUGAUAUGAAGUUCUUAUGAGGGAGGCCCCAGAUAAGUGGCUACUUUCAGCAAGUAGACCAAAUCCUAGCCCUACCAACAGAGAAAAUAGUUCUUCUUCAGACUUCUCUGAAGCUGACACAAAAUUAGCAGCCAAAUUAUAUGAUAAACUAGUUCAUAAUUAAUAUCUAUUUAUAAAAAAAAAGUUUACUAACUAAUAAUUAUACUUAGAUACUCGUAUAGGCUACUAAUCAUCACAAAAAAAUAUACUUUCAUGAAACUUUUGUCCCCAAAAUAACUUUUGUAGCUGUCAUUAUGCCUUAUAUCUUUAUUCGAAAAUUGUAUGAAUGUGAUGGUGAUAUGCCACUUAGUUAACUUUAGUGUGAAACUUUUGGGCAUAUGUGUGUGUUCUAUGCAGUUGAGUAUAUUGACUAAUCAUUACUGGAGUAACUUUAAUUUAUAAAUUAACUUAUCUUAUUGGCAAGAAGCACAAAGUUGCUGAUGUUAAGUUGUACCAUGCAUAUUUUUGAUGCUAAAACAUCCAAAAAGCUAUGUCAAAUAUUAAUAGUAUUACACUGUUACAGAGGCAUGCCAUGUGGAAGUAAGCCUUGUAAUGGAUAUCAAUGACCAAGAGAGUGGUAGUGGGCUUCGAAGCAAUGCCAAAUCCACCCUGGGGCUGAAAGGAGAAGAUUAUUUAAUAACAUUAUGUAAACCUGUAAAUGUAUACAUAGCUCCUAAACAAGUGAAAAAGGGUAUAUAAAUUCUUUGUGGAACAAUGUUAUCUUUAUGUUUAUAUGGAUAUCUGCAGAUUAUGUAGCAUUAUAAAAUUAGAGUCUUAUUACAUGUUGAAAAUUAUAAUCAAUAUAAUGUGACCCAACCUUGAGAAUUUAAGUUGUGUAGGAAAUAUUAGUAACAAAGUUUAAAAAUAGAAAACUGUGAGAGAGUCCGUGAUUUUUGUUCACAAAUGAAAGGAGAAUCUGUAAUCAAUACAAAAAUGCUUUGUGGAUUUUCGGUGCUAGCGUGAUGGUGAAUGUUGACCUUAAGUGAAAGGACAAACAACUCGUAGUUUUGUAGUUGGAUUAAAAAUACUGAUUUUAUGAAGAUGUCUUGUAUACUGGAAGGAACCAAAGGAUGUUCUUUAUCAAAACCUACCAGUUAUAAUAAACUUUGCAAGAAAUCGUUAAUGGUCUGCAUAAGAAUCCUUCAGUCGUCUGCCACCAUCAAGUGCUACGUCCUCUGAUCUAUGGACCUGUACCAUAAACAUUUGACUUCUCCUUGAAAUAAUUUUUUUAUAUUGAA